rnacentral:rRNA from 1 species
UACAGAGGGUGCGAGCGUUAAUCGGAAUUACUGGGCGUAAAGGGCGCGUAGGCGGCCUUGUAAGUCCCGUGUGAAAUCCCCUGGCUCAACUAGGGAAUUGCACGGGAGACUGCUUGGCUUGAGUUCGGGAGAGGGAAGCGGAAUUCCGGGUGUAGCGGUGAAAUGCGUAGAUAUCCGGAGGAACACCGGUGGCGAAGGCGGCUUCCUGGACCGACACUGACGCUGAGGCGCGAAAGCUAGGGGAGCAAACGGG